GUUAUUUGCAAGAGAUAAAGUAGAACUCUUUUUUUUUAUUUUCUUUUCUUUGUUGCUUUUUAAUGAAUGGGAACGAAAACAAAAAUUAUUGAUAAUAUUUAUUUAUCUUUCUCUCUUCGAUCUGUGCAGCGCGUUUCCUGAGAAUGACUCAAUAUAGAGAUCAAUGUUGAGGAGAAGCUUCUACAUAGCAAUGGAACCUCUAUUGCUGCUAGUGUCAACUCUAACGAUAGACGUGAUGAUGGGCGUGACUCUAUGAGUGACGAACUGGAAUCGAGCACGCUUAAAAACUAUGGAUUGCGAAAGAACCAAUGGAAGCUGCCUUGAGCUAUCCUCGUCUGCUACUGGAACAAGAGCCUUGUUCUUUAAUUCUUCUUCUUGGCGCUUGAAGCGACAUCACUCGGCUAAUAAACAAGUAGUCCCUCACACACUUGAACUCAUGCUAUUUUAUCUAAUUUAUUUUAAUUUUAUUUUUCAAAUUUUUUUUUUAAUUUCCAUAUCAUUAUUUUCUACAGUUUCUUUG
rnacentral:lncRNA from 1 species